rnacentral:rRNA from 1 species
GACGAACGCUGGCGGCGUGCCUAAUACAUGCAAGUCGAACGCUUCUUUCCUCCCGAGUGCUUGCACUCAAUUGGAAAGAGGAGUGGCGGACGGGUGAGUAACACGUGGGUAACCUACCCAUCAGAGGGGGAUAACACUUGGAAACAGGUGCUAAUACCGCCUAACAGUUUAUGCCGCAUGGCAUAAGAGUGAAAGGCGCUUUCGGGUGUCGCUGAUGGAUGGACCCGCGGUGCAUUAGCUAGUUGGUGAGGUAACGGCUCACCAAGGCCACGAUGCAUAGCCGACCUGAGAGGGUGAUCGGCCACACUGGGACUGAGACACGGCCCAGACUCCUACGGAAGGCAGCAGUAGGGAAUCUUCGGCAAUGGACGAAAGACUGACCGAGCAACGCCGCGUGAGUGAAGAAGGUUUGCGGAUCGUAAAACUCUGUUGUUAGAGAAGAACAAGGACGUUAGUAACUGAGCGUCCCCUGACGGUACCUAACCAGAAAGCCACGGCUAACUACGUG